ensembl:snRNA U6 U6 spliceosomal RNA
GUGCUCGCUUUGGCAGCACAUAUACUAAAAUUGGAACGAUACAGAGAAGAUUAGCAUGGCCCCUGCACAAGAAUGACAUGCAAAUUCAUGAAGCAUUCCAUAUUUUU